rnacentral:rRNA from 1 species
AGUGAACGCUGGCGGUAGGCCUAACACAUGCAAGUCGAACGGCAGCACAGUAAGAGCUUGCUCUUACGGGUGGCGAGUGGCGGACGGGUGAGGAAUACAUCGGAAUCUACUUUUUCGUGGGGGAUAACGUAGGGAAACUUACGCUAAUACCGCAUACGACCUACGGGUGAAAGCAGGGGAUCUUCGGACCUUGCGCGAUUGAAUGAGCCGAGGUCGGAUUAGCUAGUUGGCGGGGUAAAGGCCCACCAAGGCGACGAUCCGUAUCUGGUCUGAGAGGAUGAUCAGCCACACUGGAACUGAGACACGGUCCAGACUCCUACGGGAGGCAGCAGUGGGGAAUAUUGGACAAUGGGCGAAAGCGUGAUACAGCCAUACCGCGUGGGUGAAGAAGGCCUUCGGGUUGUAAAGCCCUGUUGUUGGGAAAGAAAAGCAGCAGGUUAAUACCCCGCUGUUCUGACGGUACCCAAAGAAUAAGCACCGGCUAACUUCGUG